GUCCGGGUGCGAAACUGGGAAACGGGCAUGACUAAGAAUCAUGUGCUCUUAAUGAGCUUGCGGGUUCAAAUCCCGCUCCGGACA
rnacentral:tRNA from 1 species